AUGAAGCUUUUGAAAUUGUCUCCGCUCGCCUCAAAUAUUUGCUCUGUUAUUAAGGUUCUAGUUGUCCUGAGAGGAAGAAAAAUACCUAUCAGAGUCUCUCCGAUUGAGCUUAAAAAAAACAGUUUGGGACAGAAUGUGGACUGGUUUUGGACAACAACAAUACAUGGCUUCGUUUAUGUUAUUUUGUUGAUGAAGAAAGUACGAAGAUUUGAAGAUGAAGCUUUGAUAAUGAAGGCAUGGAGAAUUUGA